ensembl:lncRNA
CUGGGGCUUUCUGGUCUACACAAGGACAAGAGAAAGAGAAGGGUUUUUCCUUCUUCUGAAGUGAGAGAAAAGUAAGACUGGCCAGAGGGCUUUGCCGUGGGGCUGGCACUGUUCCCCUACUUUCUCCAGCAAUGUUGACGUCAUCUGAAAGCAGUGAAGGAAGACCACAGGGACCUCUCAGAGCUGGGGUUCAUCAGCAAACAGCUUAUCCCUGAAUCAGAAAAUUUUCUGAAACUGCAGACAUACAAUUUUCAAACGUGCAUUGAGAGGCCACUUUCUCAGCUGUGAUUCCAGGGCGUGGGGAUGGGAAGUUGAAACAAGUUAUUUGCGUACCAGGAGCUUCCAACACGACACAAAGGAAAGAAACAUAAUUCAUCCCUGUGAUUCCAGCAGCAGUUACAAAGGCUUAUGUAGCCAUUCUGCUAUGAAUUAGUCUUCCCUGGAACUUAUGAAAAACUCAUUCAGUCCUUGUUGAGUUGAACUGAGACGUAGCUUCUAUCAGUCAUUGACACCGCUCCCUCAUUUUAAGACAUGCCGGCUUCCUUGGCACACCUCGUCGGCGGAACAGGAUAUGUACAUGCUUGUCACAGGCUCUGUCCAGGCCAAUGAGUCCCUCUGCCCCAGGUACAGGGCUGGCUCAUGGACCCGAAUGUAUUCCAUUUAUCCUAUGUGUUGUGUAUAAGAGACUGGCAGCUGAGGACCUGAAAAGUUGAAGAUUCUCUUUUUCAUGGGCAGCUGCAAGUCUGUUAUAAGUGAUGUUGAGCCGGGGACUGUGUGAUGAAGGAAGCUGAACCAGGCCUUCUUUGGUGAUGAAGGCCUUCUUCAUGGGCAUAAGAGUGAGCACCCUGGAACCCACAGUGGCAUUUGCACCAGGGCCACUCCCUGCAGAGCAACAUCGCUGUGUCUAUUGAACAGCCAGAGGAGAAGUGGAGAGCGAACAGAAAGCCAGAGCAGGGGAGAAACACAAGGGACUUCUGCCCAGAACACGUGACACACAGAUCUAGGAACCUGC